CUGUGUCUCCCUCUCUCUCCGCUGCUCCCCCCGCUCACGCUCUGUCUCUCUCUCCUUCAAAAAUAAAUAAACAUUAAAAAAAAAUUUAGAAGAGGUGUUUGGCCUGCUGUGGUGUCCUGGUGCUUUGGCCAGGAGCAGGUGGGGACCAAGCGGGCCAACAAGGCACCUGCCUAUAAACUGUUUCCUCCAGCAGCAGCAGGUGCUGAGGGCAGAGGGGCCAGGGAGAGCCCAGGCCUGGCCCCGACAGAGGAGCUGCUGCCCAGACCGGGACUCUGUCCAGACUGUUUGACUCAGUGCAGACACCCACGGACCAGGGUGAGCUUCUGCAGACCCCGUGGACACAUUUGAUUCUAUCAGCAACCUGCUGCCUGGAAUUAUUGAAGAACUUAUCACAUGGUCGUGGAGCUAAUUAACAGCCACGCUGGAUUUCACACUCAAGGCGUACCGUACAGGUCAUACGACUGAGUGCCAGGCACGGGACAGAAACACAGACACGAAAACAGGAAGAAGGCUCUAGUAUUAUGCUCGAUUCGUAGAAGAGGAAAUGGAGACUCAGAAUGUUCGUAGAAAGUCAUUUGCUAGACUCCGCAGAGCUCGUAAGGGGCAGUCCUGGGCCGUAAUCCCCCGCGUCUCCAGCUCCAGAUCCUCUGCAGCCGUGGAAUACUCUAGCAGCCUUCGCACCUGCAUCCCCACCUUGAAAGUCAGAGCCGUGGGUGAUUCCUGCCAGUGACGGUGACGGAGAGGAGCUGCCACGGCUCCGUGACCACGGGGCUCCCACGGCAGCUUUGCGCCACCCUCAGUGGUGAAGGCCUGGCAAAGCCUCCGUUCUGCGUAAUACUCCGUCCGUCUCUUCAGGGUUUUGCAGCAGUGACCAGCUUUGUUGCUAUAUUGGCACACUUUCCCAGAAAUAGAUUAGAAAGCAGGGAAAAUUUUAAAAACGGGGGUGGGCGGGGGAGAAAACCCACUCUGAUGUGUUAGUUUGCUAACGGCCUUAACUCCGUAAUAAAUAAAGACUGCAAA